UACGGGGGGUGCAAGCGUUGUUCGGAUUUAUUGGGCGUAAAGCGCGUGUAGGCGGUUCUAUAAGUCUGAUGUGAAAGCCCUGGGCUCAACCUGGGAAGUGCAUUGGAUACUGUGGGACUUGAAUACGGGAGAGGGCAGUGGAAUUCCUGGUGCAGGAGUGAAAUCCGUAGAUAUCAGGAGGAACACCGGUGGCGAAGGCGGCUGCCUGGACCGAUAUUGACGCUGAGGUGCGAAAGCUAGGGGAGCAAACGGG
rnacentral:rRNA from 1 species